rnacentral:rRNA from 1 species
UUCUUUUUGUUGAUAUAUAUAAAGUAAGACCUGCUCAAUGAAUUUUUAAAUAGCCGCGGUUAUUAUCGUGCAAAGGUAGCAUAAUAACUUGGUUUUUAAUUGGAAUCUAGAAUGAAUGGUUUAACAAAAGAUUAACUUUCUUAAUUGGUUUUUUUAAAAUUUUAUUUUUUAGUAAAAAAGCUAAAAUGAUUUUAUGGGACGAUAAGACCCUAUAAAAUUUUAUUUAUUAAAUAAAAUUAAAUCAGUGUAAUUGAGGAUUUAAUUUUAUUUAAUAAAUUUGGUUGGGGCGAUUAUUAAAUUAAAAUAACUUUAAUUUUUAAAUUUCAUUAAUUUAUGAUUACUUGAUCCUAAUUGCGGAUUAAAAGAUUAAAUUACUUUAGGGAUAACAGCGUAAUUUUUCUUAGGAGUUCUUAUUUAAAGGGAAGUUUACGA